rnacentral:rRNA from 1 species
CACCGCGGUUAUACGAGAGACCCUAGCUGAUAGGUACGGCGUAAAGAGUGGUUAGGGGUAAGCUAUAAAUAAAGCCAAAGACCUUCCAAGCCGUCACACGCACACCGAAGGCACGAAGCCCUAAUACGAAGGUAGCUUUAAUCACCCCUGACGCCACGAAAGCUAAGAAA